rnacentral:rRNA from 1 species
GCGAGUGGCGAACGGGUGAGUAAUGUAUCGGAACGUAUCCAAUAAUGGGGGAUAACUAAUCGAAAGGUUGGCUAAUACCGCAUACGCCCUACGGGGGAAAGCAGGGGAUCUUCGGACCUUGCGUUAAUGGAGCGGCCGAUAUCUGAUUAGCUAGUUGGUGGGGUAAAGGCUCACCAAGGCAUCGAUCAGUAGCUGGUCUGAGAGGACGACCAGCCACACUGGAACUGAGACACGGUCCAGACUCC